rnacentral:rRNA from 1 species
GACGAACGCUGGCGGCGUGCCUAAUACAUGCAAGUCGAACGCAGUGGGGACGGGUGAUUAACACGUGGGUAACCUCCCAUCAGAGGGGAUAACACUUGGCAACAGGUGCUAAACCGAUACUGAUGGAUGGACCCGCGGUGCUUUAGCUAGUUGGUGAGGUAACGGCUCACCAAGGCGACGAUGCAUAGCCGAGCUGAGAGGAUGAUCGGCCACACUGGAACUGAGACACGGCCCAGACUCCUACGGGAGGCAGCAGUGGGGAAUCUUCGGCAAUGGGCGAAAGUCUGACCGAGCAACGCCGCGUGAGUGAAGAAGGUUUUCGGAUCGUAAAACACUGUUGUUAGAGAGGCGGUAUCUAACCAGAAAGCCACGGCUAACUACGUGCCAGCAGCCGCGGUAAUUC